UACGUAGGGUGCAAGCGUUGUCCGGAAUUAUUGGGCGUAAAGAGCUCGUAGGCGGUUUGUCGCGUCGGCUGUGAAAACCUGGGGCUCAACCCCGGGCCUGCAGCCGAUACGGGCAAACUAGAAUUCGGUAGGGGAGACUGGAAUUCCUGGUGUAGCGGUGAAAUGCGCAGAUAUCAGGAGGAACACCGGUGGCGAAGGCGGGUCUCUGGGCAAUAACUGACGCUGAGGAGCGAAAGCGUGGGGAGCGAACAGG
rnacentral:rRNA from 1 species